ensembl:lncRNA
CAGCUGAGUUGAGACUGUGUUUGCUGGAACUUUGAAGCCCGAACAGGACACUGUGAAUGAAAAAGGACCAGUGAGAGAUGAAGCUGGACGAGUUUGACUGCGAGAAUAUAGGAUAUAAUUGGAUUGAAAAUUGAAGCCUGAACUCAUGAAUUGUUUAGGGAUGUCCACCACAGCAUAACAAAGAGGUAAACGUUAGAAAAGGUAAGAAUAAUGAAAGAAAAUAAUUGUCAUUACCUUAAUGAAUAGAAAACACACAUACAAAUUGUUACAUGUGAGAUUAUUUUUGAAAUGAAUCAGAAGUGAGAUAGUUUGAAUCUAAAGCUCAGUGGUGAAAUGCAUAAAUUAAAUAUGAAUAUAUAGGAUGCAAUGAAGAAACAGCUUACACGUAGUGAACAUCAACAUGAAUACAUAGAAAUGCAACGAAGAACUCAAUGAAUUAAUUCAAGGAAGAAGCAGCUUACACUGUAUUAACAUGACCGCCUAACGCAAGGAAGAACACGCUGACAUACAUGACAUAAUUGAUAUUUCUGACCAGAGAAAGAGAAAAGUGGGUCGUUUGACCACUCGUGAUAAUAAUGAAAAUGUCUUAGUUUGUUAUUUUUAGGAGCAAAGCAGACCCGGACCAGCUCUCCAGAUCCAGCAGUUGGAAGAAAAUUGUAGGUUAACGCCAAUGGGUAUGUUAAGGCAAGUUUCUGGUUGAAUUGUUCACAGAAUCAGGUGUCCAUGAACCUGGAAAACAGGCCCUAGCUCCUGGCUGGAGACCAGGAGGGCUUUUAUUCAAGGUGGGAAAUUAAAAUUUGGGCUAGUAAGUCGGGGAAGAGAAAACUGACUGCUUAACUGGAGAAUUGGGAAGGAGUUUGAAAGACUGCGAAGCCAUAGAUGCAUAAAUAACACACACAAACAGAAAAUGCAUUAACUUUACAAAGACAAGCUCAUGAAGUUUAAUGCAUACAGACAUUGAAUAAACCUGGCUAAGAACAUAAGCAUAUGCAAUGAAGAUCUGCUUGCUGCUUGUAUGAGUGAGAGAAUGGUGUGAAUGGUUAAUAAAAUUGAUGGAAAGAUUUAAAAAAGAUGGAGAAAACACAAGAAAAGUAUUAAAGCAGUUUUAAAAGGGUGCCUUAGGAGUGCCUUUGCACUGAUUGAUAAAAGUAAGUGAUUAGUAUAGAAAGAAAAUGAAAAUAAUUCAAUAAUGUGUUAAGGUUUAAACAUGUAUUUCUCUUGUCAAGUUGGCUGUUGAGCUGUGUGUCUAUGCAAAUUAGCUGGAGCAGAGACACUUCCUGUGUGCGUGUGUGUCGGAGGCUUUCAGUUCAAGAGAGAGCGGUGGCUGUUGAAGAGUAUUUGGCGAAAUAUAUAAUGCAGGCCUGGAGGAGAGUGAACUGACGGCGCUGACAAAAUUACCAAGUACGAAAAUCAGGUGGGCUUUACAGAAUUAUAAAUUGGCUGAGAAGGAGACCUGAUUGGCGAAUUGUGCCGAAGUACUUAGAGGAAGUGCACCAGAUCUCCCAGAGGGAAGCGAUAGCGAAGACGAGCUGAGGGGAAGCACCGACCCGAAGACAAUGUUCUUUAAAACUAUGUUAAAGGUUGUUGACAGAACAUUUGUGGUUUUGAGUGACGUAUGCUGUAUAAAUCUGCCUAACAACAGAAGAGGGGGUGGUACAAUGCUCACCUCUAUAAAACCUUUGUCUAAUUAUUGUAAGUUCAGUUCGACGCUGAAUCUGUACAGCGUUCGGACUCCGCACGUGUGUAUUCAUUAAAAUGCCG